rnacentral:lncRNA from 1 species
GAGAGAGAGAGAGAGAGAGAGAGAGGUGGUGNNNNNNNNNNNNNNNNNNNNGAGAGAGAGAGAGGUGGGUGAGCUUGGAAACCAAGUAAUGACUAAUGGCGCCGCUGUGAGGGAGGUAAAGUAGGGUCCGCAGAGGAAGCAUGAGCAGUCAUUGAGGAAAAUGAAGGAUCGGAUGGGGGAAGAAGAUGGGGAGAUUUUGUAUUGGGUAGCUCAACACACAACAGAGAGAGAAAAAGAGAGAGAAAGAGAGAGAGCUGUGUUCUUCCACCGCCUUAGAUGAACACUAUUCUUUUCUUCAAAGUUAGAGAGAGAGAGAGUUGAAGAGGGACCUUCUUUUCUUUCUUUCCCGACCGAGUGGAUUGAAAACGACUCGUUUUGAUGGUCUUGUUUUGGGCAAGGGGGGAUCAUCCAUUGUUUUCUAUUUUAUAUUUUUAUUUAUUUUACCUAUAACUUUUCGUUCAGUCAAACAGCAUAUAUAUCACUCUUAUAGAUGUCUUAAAAAAUUAAUGAUAUAUCAUUCUACUUUAAUAUUGUUCGAUUUAAAUUUAC